UUGUGUUCAGGCAAGUGUUCAUAUUCAAUUCUUUAAUUCUGAUUCAGGAGUAAGAUGACUUUGGUUGCUUGAGAAUCUGACAUAGGCAGACAAGAAGAAGCAGCUGAAGCUUAUGAUAUUGCUGCAAUUAAGUUUAGGGGAACAAGUGCUGUAACCAAUUUUGACAUAAGUAGGUAUGAUGUAAAGAGAAUUUGCUCAAGCUCUACUCUUACUAACCUCAAGUCAAGUCAGCUUAUAAUUAGUAAGCUUUUAACAUUAAAUCCCCAAAAGACCCUUUAACUCUUUACCUCUCAUUUCCAUCUUAUCUCACAGAUCCGAAUCUUUUUCUUCUUCUUCUAUGAAGGUACAUGUUUUGUUAUUGCUUUUUUCAAGUUUCAAUCUUUAACCCAGUUUUUGUUCAUAGCUGUCAUUAUCAUUUGGUCAUUCUUUUUGGGUGCUUUUCCUUUGCUAUAAGUUUUUCAGAUUAGAUCAGCUAACUGGGUUUUGCAUGGUAGAUUUGUUUUGCCUUGUUGGGUUUUUCUUUUUGAAGUCCCAUAUCGGGUUCUGAGGAUGCUAGGAAAGGGAAAUGAGGAUAAAAGUUCGUAAAAGAUUAUGAGUUUAUGUUUUGUUCUGUGUUGCCUUUACUCUAAAAAGGAAAAAAAGAUUGUAAAAAGUUUAGCUUUGCUUGAGUUUAGGUUGCAAAUACUGGCUCUAUGGAUUGGCAUUUAUGUUUUCUUAAGACCAUAAUUGAGGAUGAAUUAAUUGAUUCAAAGUUCAAAGCUA
rnacentral:sRNA from 1 species